UAUUGUAUUUAUAGUUCACAGGCCCGUAGCUAGGACCAAAUCUGAGAGGGGGCUCAAGCCCAAUACAAAAAGUUAAUUUUUUAUGUAAUGUAAUUUGAAGACGCAGGCGAUUUUUUCUAGAAGAAAAUUUGA